rnacentral:rRNA from 1 species
GACGAACGCUGGCGGCGUGCUUAACACAUGCAAGUCGAGCGGUAAGGCCCUUUCGGGGUACACGAGCGGCGAACGGGUGAGUAACACGUGGGUGACCUGCCCUUAGCUCUGGGAUAAGCCUGGGAAACUGGGUCUAAUACCGGAUAUGACUCCAUAACGCAUGUUGUGGGGUGGAAAGCCUUGUGCGGCUAGGGAUGGGCCCGCGGCCUAUCAGCUUGUUGGUGGGGUGAUGGCCUACCAAGGCGACGACGGGUAGCCGGCCUGAGAGGGCGACCGGCCACACUGGGACUGAGACACGGCCCAGACUCCUACGGGAGGCAGCAGUGGGGAAUCUUGCGCAAUGGGCGAAAGCCUGGCGCAGCGACGCCGCGUGGGGAUGACGGCCUCGGU